CGGCCCGCCCUCUCUCCCCCGGGCGUCCCCCUCCUCUCCGCCCGCCGCCGGGAGGCCGGGCCCGCCGUGCUGGGGCGGCGGCGGCGGCUCGGCCCCGCUCUUAAAAGGCCGCGCUCCCUUCCCCCGCUGCUGCCGGGCGCUCCUCCCCGGCCGCGCGGCCGUUGGGAUUUGAAAUGCGGGCGGCGGUUGCAGGCCGCGGGGGGCCGGAGGCGGGGAGUGAGGAGCGAGGGGUGGCGGCGCCCCCCGGCGCUGCUCCCGGCUCGGUUUCUCUUCCCCCGGAGGCUCGCGUUGGGUGCCCGGGCGGCGCGGAGCGAGGAGGCCUUUGUUAGGGCUGCCCGGCGGCACGCGUGGUCCCGCAGCGCGGGGCUGCGAGGACAAAGGCAGCGCGGGGCAAGUUGCGAGUCCGGGCGGUGAAAUGGUCCCUCUGUGAAUAAAGGCGGCUCUGACAACCAAAAACACCUCAGACUUCACCAAACCGCACGAGGGGCGCUGACGCGAGGCCAUUUAACAGUUCAGCUGGCGGCAGCGCGGUGACAGAGGCGGCCAACUUUGACCUGCUUCCAUUCAAAGCGCACGCACCGGCCAGCGAGGCUCCGCUGUGCUUUGGAGCCGCGGCGGGCAUUCCCUGAGAUCCCCGAAGCGGCAGCGGGGCCGGCCGUACGCGGGGCGCGGUGACUUAAUCGCGGAAACACGCGGCCCUAUCAGUUACGGCGCGUUCUCAGCGUGCAGAAAGGAGCAGAAGAGUAGCGGGGAGAUUACCUGUGUAUCCUGUGAUCAUUUCCAUGACCCAUGACAGCACUAUUUGCCAGCAAUAACAGAGAAGAGAAAAUGAUUUUACCAUGGCAACGUCUACAUUAGCAACAGCACAGUAAGAAUAUAUUUGGAGAGUGAAACUCACAUACACUUGGGAGGCUUUACUUCAGACUACUUUAUUUCCCCAAGCCAGAUGUCAACGACGUGUGUUCCUGCAACACAUCUUUCACUGUGGUUUCAUCCAAAAGUUAUCUUCAUUUGCUUGUGCUUUUACUUCUCUGAAAUACAAAGGAAAAACACGGUAAGUAAAAUCCCAUUGGGAGACUCCCUUUAACAGAGUAUUUUUGUCCUGAACUAAUAAGUUAAUUCAUGAAGAUGGACUCACAGCUGCACUCCCUGGGUCAAAAAUGAAACCUGGUGUGACUUUCAUACCAGCAUGUACUUUGUGUGACCAAAACGUGAGACAUUUAAGUUCAUCUACUACCUGGACACAACAUCCAUGCAUAUGAGUAUUACAGUUCUUAGGUAUCAAGCUGUUUGCAGCCAAAUCUACUUCCCUUUGGCCAUGGGAGAGAGGAUACAGAUUCUCCCUUUCUCUUGUGGCCUGUGGUACACAGUGUUGUCAACUUACCAUUUUCUUUUUCUUUCCUAAAAGAUUUAAGAAUAGCAGUUACACAGGAAAAAGCUUUUGCUGUCAGGUUCGGUUUGCUUUCAAGUUUCUAGCCCUCAUGACUGCAGAAAAAAAUAGUCCCAGAAAAUGGAAAAGGUAUAAACAAAACACUCUGAUUCAUUCUGUAGGAUUUUCAACAAUUGCAAAUCAUCAUCAGUUGCCACAUGCUUCAUUUUGGCAGCAACAAGCACCAGUGGCUAGCCUCACACAACUACUUAUGCUAUUCAAGAGCUGGACUGUGAUUACAAUUCUUCAAAACAGUUUUCUGGAUGUCACACCUUCACGGACAGGCAUAAUCCGACCCGUUGUCUUACCGUACAGAAGGAAAAACAUCCUGGAACUACGUCCUCCAGUUUCUAAAUAAUGCAGCAUUUGUAUAAUACUUACAUUUUACUUAAGAGUAAGUCUCGUAUACAUUUCAGAUAAAGUACUGGUGUUUAUGAAGGCUGGAAGAGUUCUGGGGGUGGAGGCAGAGGGAACUUGUUUUUUCUUUUUUACCCAUUUAAGCCAAUUCAGUAGUGUAAGUUACAACUAAUCACAUUUUAAAGUCCCUCUGCACUGCCUGUGAAACCAUCUAAUGGAUGAACAAGGGCAAAUGACUAUUUUCUUCUCGUAUCUGUAACAAGGGAUUAACAAUAUAGUGAAAUAGAAGGUCUAUUAUGAUCUACAGGAGAAAAGCGUCACAUGAGUAUUAGUUUGUAAAUAAGAAAGGAAAUGAAAUUUAGAAUAAAAUUACGACUGAAAAAGUUCAGUUCAGUAUAACAAUUAUUGUAACCAGGAACAGCUGGUGUUCCUAAUAUUAUCUGCAUUAGCACCAAGAGAGAUUUGUUGUGUUUAUUUCCUAUCAUAUGACCACUUCAGUUUCACUCUCUGCUCUGCAGCUGUCCCUGGUAGUGUCUAAUAUAGGCUGUCUUUGUUUUAAAUAUUUGGUACACAGCACAAAGUCAAAACAAGUUACUGAACUCAGACUAAAACAGCCUGGUGUAACAAGGCCUCUGUUUGCCUACUAGCUGCUUAACUGGUUAUGCAGGCUUUACAAUAGCAUGUACAAUAAAACUAAUGUUUAGACAGUAAAUAAUUUCAUUUUUGUAAAAUAGAUAUCAUGUCCAUGUUACACAACUGAAAAAAGGGGAAAAGCUCUAACACAUUACUUUAAAACUAAGUCUUUAAGAUAUGGACAGGAACUCCAGUUCCGAGAACUUCUGGGCAGCUGCACUGCUACAUAUGUUUUUGUCAAAGUACAAAGAAAGUAAAUGCUGAUAAGUGGAACACUACAGCAAGCUGAGCUUUGUUUGGAACUUCACUAAGCAGUAGUUUAGGCAGUUCUAGAUAUUACUUUUAAUCCUACAGCUGUUACCAUCUAUUUAGUAUGAGACCCUCAUAUUGAAUAGGCCCAAAACCAGAGCUGCUGUCUGUACACUUUUUAACUCACAUUAAAAAGGGAGUUUUAAAGUGUU